rnacentral:rRNA from 1 species
AGAGUUUGAUCCUGGCUCAGGACGAACGCUAGCGGCAGGCUUAACACAUGCAAGUCGAGGGGCAGCACGGGUAGCAAUACUUGGUGGCGACCGGCGCAAGGGUGCGUAACGCGUGAGCAACAUGCCCGUAUCAGGGGGAUAAUCCAUGGAAACGUGGUCUAAUACCCCAUAGUAAAUUUUUGGGGCAUCUCAAAGAUUUUAAAGCUUUGGUGGAUACGGAUUGGCUCGCGUGACAUUAGCUGGAUGGUAAGGUAACGGCUUACCAUGGCUACGAUGUCUAGGGGUUCUGAGAGGAAGGUCCCCCACACUGGAACUGAGAUACGGUCCAGACUCCUACGGGAGGCAGCAGUGAGGAAUAUUGGACAAUGGAUGGAAAUCUGAUCCAGCCAUGCCGCGUGCAGGAAGACGGCCCUAUGGGUUGUAAACUGCUUUUGUAUGGGAGCAAUAAGAUCUACGUGUAGAUUGAUGAGAGUACCAUACGAAUAAGCACCGGCUAACUCCGUGCCAGCAGCCGCGGUAAUACGGAGGGUGCAAGCGUUAUCCGGAUUUAUUGGGUUUAAAGGGUGCGUAGGCGGUUUGAUAAGUCAGCGGUGAAAUAUUUCAGCUUAACUGGAAGGGUGCCGUUGAUACUGUCGAGCUUGAAUUUAGUUGCUGUGGGUGGAAUGUGUGGUGUAGCGGUGAAAUGCAUAGAUAUCACACAGAAUAUCGAUUGCGAAGGCAGCUCACAAAGCUAAUAUUGACGCUGAUGCACGAAAGUGUGGGGAUCAAACAGGAUUAGAUACCCCGGUAGU